AACCGCUGGUGUUCGGGUUGUCAUGCCAAUGGCAUUGCCCGGUAGCUACGUUCGGAACUGAUAAGCGCUGAAAGCAUCUAAGCGCGAAGCAGGCCUCGAGAUGAGUUCUCACUAGACUUUUAAAGUCUCUGAAGGGCCGUUGAAGACUACAACGUUGAUAGGCAAGAUGUGGAAGUGGUGUGAGCCAUUAAGCUAACUUGUACUAAUUACCCGUGAGGCUUAACCAUACAACGCCAAACGCGUUU
rnacentral:rRNA from 1 species